ACAGAUCUUGCAAAUGGAUUGUGUAAGACAGAGUGUGGAAGAGGAGGCUGUGAUCAGUGGCUUGGAGAGCAGAGUGUGGUCAGGCGCUAAACCUAAGGCUUUUCUGGGAAGAGCUGUUAAGAUUAGACUGUUCUCCCAAAAAGCCAAUAAUUCUGAGUGUCUCCAUUAAUGCCUAGGUAGCCCAUACUCUCACCCAGCCGGUGCCCUUCAGCCUGGAACCUUUGGAUGGAGGAUUGGACCUUGUGACCUUCAAGUUCCCUUCCGAACCAAAUAUGCUCUAACCCAGGAGAUGGUGCUGUUGCCCAGGAAGCCGGUCACCAUGACGAGAGUACCCGCUCAGAUGAGGAUGCAGGCGGAGGCGGUGAAGGUGCUGGAGGCCAGGAUGCUGAGGUACCUCCAGACACCACCCAGGCUGCAGCAAAUGGAAUGGGAGAGGCUAACACACCAUAAUUUUUCAAUUCCAUGAUGCCCAUUUUUUCUCACAUUUUAACGUCUCUAAAAUUGGGGCACAUCUUAUGAUUGAUGGCAUCUUACAAUUACACUUGGCAGUACUUUUUCUUGGUGAUACAAAAAAACAACAGUGUAUCUUACAACUGAUAGCUUAGAUUCAGUGAAAUCCUAGAAUACAACAGGUUUGAAAA
rnacentral:lncRNA from 10 species